GCUUAGCCCUAAACCUAGGUAGAACUCAUACAACUCUACCCGCCAGAGAACUACAAGCGAAAAACUAGAAACUCUAAGGACUUGGCGGUGCUCCACACCAACCUAGAGGAGCCUGUCCUGUAAUCGAUACUCCACGCUAAACCUUACCAUUUCUUGCCCAUCAGCCUAUAUACCGCCGUCGCCAGCCUACCUCAUGAGAGACCAACAGUAGGCAAAAUAGUUAAUAACUAAAACGUCAGGUCAAGGUGUAGCUUAUGAAAUGGAAGAGAUGGGCUACAUUUUCUGCCACAGAAAACACGAACGGCACAAUGAAAUUAAUGCCCGAAGGCGGAUUUAGCAGUAAGACAUAUAAGCCACUACAUCUUAAGCCUGCUCUGGAGCGCGC
rnacentral:rRNA from 1 species